rnacentral:rRNA from 1 species
CAGCAGCCGCGGUAACACGAAGGGGGCUAGCGUUGUUCGGAUUCACUGGGCGUAAAGGGCGCGUAGGCGGACUGAUAAGUCAGGGGUGAAAUCCCAAGGCUCAACCUUGGAACUGCCUUUGAUACUGUUUGUCUUGAGUUCGAGAGAGGUAAGUGGAACUGCGAGUGUAGAGGUGAAAUUCGUAGAUAUUCGCAAGAACACCAGUGGCGAAGGCGGCUUACUGGCUCGAAACUGACGCUGAGGCGCGAAAGCGUGGGGAGCAAACAGGAUUAGAUACCCCAGUAGUCCCUGUCUCUUAUAC